AUUUUUUUUUCUUUUACUGUAUUCUAUACUUGUCAAAGAGUUCUAUGGUUACAUGGAUAUACGCAGUAAUAUUAUAUGAGGAUGGAUUUUCUUUUAUCCCAAAUAGCAUGAAAAAGAUGUUACUUAAAAUAUCCUGCAUGCUGAGGCUUAUUUUUAAUGCUCCUAUCUAUAUUCUGGCAAUGAUGAAGAUAGGACACUGAAUGUUGCUAUAUGUUUUCUCAGUAUAGCAAAAUGUUUUUUAUGCACUUGUGACAGCUCUUUUUGCAAUUAAAGGCAUAAUGAUCUACCAGCAUUUAUGUGACUCUGUGCUGUAAAGAGGAAUCUGCAAUAUCAUAACAACCGCAGCAGGUGGCAGUAGAACAAGGGCCACAGAAGGGAGAAGACAAUCCAUUUUCCUUUCAUACUAAAGAGAAGUGAAGGAUUUUAAAUCUCUGGCUGCUGGCUGGAUAACCUCAUGAAGCCCGCAUGCUCGAGACCAAGCACCUGCCGGGAAUGUGAAAAUUCUGGUUUGUUGAAACUGGAUCAGCACCCAGUCCCAGAGCAGCGGCCGCAUGUGGGGCAGUGCCAUGGGGCAGUGGGUGGCGGUGGCAGCCGUCACAUGCAAGCUUCCACCUCCGCUGCUCCGGGACCGGCUGCCACUACUCCCCAAUGAAGUGUAGUUUUAAAAAUUGCCGGAUUUUCAAUAAUUCCGGAUUUUGAGGUUAUACUGUACAAUGUAUCUUCAGUGUGAAUCUACUGUUAAAACACAGUAGGGAUUCUAUAGUUGGAAAUGUGGAUCACAUUAAUCUGUAUAUUUAUUCGUAAUUUGUACAAAAAGGGAAUCUGUGACCUCUCUCUCUGUCAGGUGCUCUUUUUUUGGUCACAACAAAGUAUUUGACAAGACAAAUAUUUACCAGUAAUAACACUGAUCAUUUUAAUAAAAAUGCAUUGAAUUA